GACUGGGUAGCUCAGUUGGUAGAGCAUCAGACUUUUAAUCUGAGGAUCCAGGGUUUAAGUCCUUGUUCAGACA
rnacentral:tRNA from 1 species